GCAGAUGGCGAUAUGCGUCUUUCAGGUGAUGCUUCUUCCGUGACGUGUAAUUUACUGGACCGGACACUUCUUCAGGAACAACAACACGGCUACUCUUUCUACCGCCUUGGUAGCUUGCUAGCCAACAUAACACUGAAAGAUUGACGCUUUAGACCAUAUUAAUGUACAUUAGCUAAUCUCAGUGUUGUAAACACUUUUCUGUUGACGUAUCAACUGGUUAACUUUAACCUAUUUUGCUUGUUCAAUUUGCAAAGUUGUUAAACAUUGAUACUGAGCCUAGCGCUAGGCUAGUCGCUAAUUUUAACAUCCCAGACCAUGAGCUCACUAAACUACUCAUCCCCCGUUAAAGAAGAGGUCUGCUGUAUGCAGAAAGAAGCUCUGAGGCUGAACAUUGUCGUGAAAGAAGAAGAGGAUGUUAUAGAGGAAACAGAGGAAGAACCUUUUAGAGAGGAAGAGGAUGCUAUCUCAGUAGAGGUGAAGAAGGAAGACGUCUUGGGAGUGAAAGAGGAGGAGACAGAAUAUCAGAUUAACACCAGAGAGAGACAUGACUAUUUUGGAUCCUCUGGGGAGCAUCAACAACAUCCUGAUGCUGACGAGGCAGAGAAGAGUCUCUCCAGAUCAGAACACCAGAUGGACAACGCUAGCCCUUCCUCCCUCCCGGAGUCCCCGUUUCGUGCCUCUCCCGGUAGCACCUUACUGCUGGGUAUGAAGAGGUUGUCUGUGCUGCUGGUGGACUGCAGGAAAACAACGGGGCUGAGUGGAACUAUGAGAGGAGGAGAAGAGAAGAAAGGAUCAGAUUUGACUCAUCAAAGUAAGUGCUGUAGUUUAGUUUGAACAAAUACAAUAGAUCUGCCCACUGGUAUCUGUUACCAGGACAACCAGCAGAGUUCUGUUAGUUGACAGGAAGAUAGACUGGUGGAUAUGGAUGUUAUGAAUAUCAUAACACUGAAAAAGGAUUCUGCCAAUGAAAAGAGAGAAACCAAUAGACCAUAUAAAACCUUGAUGGAAGUUAGCUUUAGAGAGAAAGUUUCAAGAUGAUCUGAUGUCAGGUGCAUGUUUUACAAAAACAUUUUUUCAAAUCUUUAUGGAUGUUACAUUGUCUGUCCCAGUCAACCCCCCCUUUCUUUACAAGACUCUAGAACACACAAACUAAACUCCAGACACUUCAAUGUGGUCUGUAUUGCUUCAUUAACAUCUGAUCAACACAACUUGUUAAACAUGGCCAAUAUAUAUUUUAAAACAAGCUCCUGUUUUUGUCUUGACUUCCGUCUCUGUGAUGGACAAAGUUCAUUUCAUUUCCUACUUUAACAGGUCAAAUAAAGCCUGAACUCCAACAUAUUGACCUUAAAGAACAUGGUUCAUUUGGAAAUGACUAACUUUAUUCAUUUCAUGUUUAACUGAUGCCAGUGUGCUGCUAACAGUUGCAAUUCCUCCACUCUCCCCAUACCAGGCUCAAACCAGUGAUCCUCUGCUUCUCAACACACGUGACCGCUCUCCUUGAGAAUAAACUCAAUUCAGAGUGCUAGAGCCACACACUCACUAUAGCACAAUAAGGGGUGUGUAUUUAACAGAUGGUGAGAUCAGAAACAAAUCAGUCAAAUCAAAUCAAAUGUAUUUAUAUAGCCCUUCGUACAUCAGCUGAUAUCUCAAAGUGCUGUACAGAAACCCAGCCUAAAACCCCAAACAGCAAGCAAUGCAGGUGUAGAAGCACGGUGGCUAGGAAAAACUCCCUAGAAAGGCCAAAACCUAGGAAGAAACCUAGAGAGGAACCAGGCUAUGAGGGGUGGCCAGUCCUCUUCUGGCUGUGCCGGGUGGAGAUUAUAACAGAACAGGCCCUUUGUUUGCUCUGUUUCAGAGCUACUCUGCUUUCUGACGAAGGAAAACCUUUUCAACUAUAAAUGUAUAUUUGGCUGCCAUUUAGGCUGCAACAACUAUACAGUGGAACACCCCCUGAUCUGUUGUUUUAUGAAGGGUCACCUACGCCCAGUAUCCAAACAGCUGGUCCCAUCCUGGGAUUUUUAUGUUUUGCUUGAGGUUAUUGCCGCUGUUGGAGCCACUGGAAAGAGUAGAAAUUAGAUUUAUUUAAAACUGCUUUACUUUAGCCAUUAUAUCCGUAUAAUGAGUUACACCCCCAUACCUUCAUGGGGUUCUAUAGUAGCAAGGAUCUGACUCCUCCGGAGGGCUUGAUGGCUCAAUCCACCAGAGGUAUGGCUACAACAUAGGCAUGGUUCAAAGGCAUCUCUGUUCAAGAGAUCUGUAAUGCAGCAUGUUGUGGUGAUGUACCUUCAUGAGGUUCUACUGACUGGACAUCACUACACAUACGGUGAGUAGAGUGGGGACCUCUGAGGGAUGAUCCUGUCUAGACUUGGCAUCAGAGAGUAUAUGAGCUCUGUAGUAGUUGACUAUAUCCCCAAAGUGAGAGACUAACGAGUCACUGAAAUAGAACUGAAGGUUCCCUUACGGAACCCUGAUUCUAUGAUAUUCACCAGGUUACCUAACAGAACCCUGAUUCUAUGAUAUUCACCAGGUUACCUAACAGAACCCUGAUUCUAUGAUAUUCACCAGGUUACCUAACAGAACCCUGAUUCUAUGAUAUUCACCAGGUUACCUAACAGAACCCUGAUUCUAUGAUAUUCACCAGGUUACCUAACAGAACCCUGAUUCUAUGAUAUUCACCAGGUUACCUAACAGAACCCUGAUUCUAUGAUAUUCACCAGGUUACCUAACAGAACCCUGAUUCUAUGAUAUUCACCAGGUUACCUAACAGAACCCUGAUUCUAUGAUAUUCACCAGGGUACCUAACAGAACCCUGAUUCUAUGAUAUUCACCAGGUUACCUAACAGAACCCUGAUUCUAUGAUAUUCACCAGGUUACCUAACAGAACCCUGAUUCUAUGAUAUUCACCAGGUUACCUAACAGAACCCUGAUUCUAUGAUAUUCACCAGGUUACCUUUCACACAUGGAAGACGGGAGCGACUAUGUCCCUGAUAUAGGAAGUGGUCUGCUAUUGGCCGUUGCUAUCGGAGAGGACAGUGCCUCCUGAAAGUAUUCAGACCCCUUGACUUUUUCCACAUUUUGUUACAUUACAGCCUUUUUCUAAAAACACAAUACCAAACAUUUUUGUUUGAUAAUUUUGCUAAUUUAUCAAAAAAGACAAAACUGAAAUAUUACAUUUACUUAAGUAUUCAGACCCUAUACUCAGAACUCUGUUCAAGCAGCAGGUUCUGCUCUGGAGCAGGUUUUCAUCAAAGAUCUCUCUUAAAGGAGGACUGUAGCAUCUAAUGAUGAAACAUUAUGGAGUCUUAAAGGAGGACUGGGAUGGGAAAGGAAAGGGGAUAUCUAGUCAGUCACAACUGAAUCCAUUCACCCUAAAUGUGUCUUCCGCAUUGAACCCAACCCCUCUGAAUCAGAGUGGCCUUAAUCGACGUCCACGUUAUCGGUGCCCGGGGAGCAGUUGUUGCAGGUUAACUGCCUUGCUCACGGCAGCUUUUUUCUACAAUAGAGAUAGUGACCUGCGUCAUAAGUCUUUGUAUGGUGGAUAGGCUUUCAAUGGAAAAACAGGCAUUUCAAAAUAAAAGCAUUUCCUGGGUGGAUUUUCCUCAGGUUUUCACCUGCCAUUUCAGUUCUGUUAUACUCAGACAUUAUUUUAACAGUUUUAGAAACUUCAGAGUGGUUUCUAUCCAAAUCUACUAAUUUGCAUAUCCUAGCUUCUGGGCCUGAGUAGCAGGCAGAUUACUUUGGGCACGCUUUUCAUCCUAAAUUCCGAAUGCUGCCCCCUACCCUAGUGAGGUUAAAGGAGAAGUUUACCCAAAAUCCAGAAACUCUGAAGUGAUUCCAUACAUUGAAACUAGUCCAGUGGAGUUUUCUCUCUCCCUGUAGUGCUGUACUGAAACAGCUGCAAAACGUGACUUAUGACAUUGCUGGAUGUGGGCCUCGCUCUGCUGCUUUGCCAGUUAAUUUGUUAUUUUAUUACAACUAUGGCCUUUGGCUUUCACCUGGAAUUGUUUAUUUAUGUCUGAGAAAAACAACAACUUUUAAACCCAUAAAAUGUAUAUAAAUAUGAUGAUGUCAUAGUGAAUUCAUGACAUGUGACUGAACAAGCCUUUUCAUACUUCAUAACAUGGCUAUAUACAGUGCCUUUGGAAAGUAUUCAGACUCCUUGACUUUUCCAUAUUUUGUUACGUUACAGCCUGAUUCAAUCUACACACAAAUACCCCUUAAACCUGUCUAUGACAUGCGUUCCGCUAGCGGAACCCCUCGACAACAUUCCGCGGGAAAUUCAAAAAUAUUUUUUAGAAAUAUGUAACUUUCACACAUUAACAAGUCCAAUACAGCAAAUGAAAGAUAAACAUCUUGUUAAUCUACCCAUCGUGUCUGAUUUCAAAAAUGCUUUACAGCGAAAGCACAACAUAUGAUUAUGUUAGAUCACCACCAAGUCAAAAAAACACAGACAUUUUUCCAGCCAAAGACAGGAGUCACAAAAAGCAGAAAUAUAGAUAAAAUUAAUCACUAACCUUUGAUGAUCUACAUCAGAUGACAUUCAUAGGACAUAAUGUUACACAAUACAUGUAUGUUUUGUUCGAUAAUGUGCAUAUAUAUAUCCAAAAAUCUCAGUUUACAUUGGCGCCAUGUUCAGAAAUGCCUCCAAAAUAUCCAGAGAAAUUGCAGAGAGCCACAUCAAAUAACAGAAAUACUCAUCAUAAACUUUGUUGAAAGAUACAUGUUUUACAUAGAAUUAAAGAUACACUUGUUCUUAAUGCAAACGCUGUGUCAGAUUUCAAAAAAACUUUACGGAAAAAGCACACCAUGCAAUAAUCUGAGACGGCGCUCAGAAAAAAAAAUUCUCUGCCAUGUUGGAGUCAACAGAAAUCAGAAAUUACACUAUAAAUAUUCCCUUACCUUUGAUGAUCUUCAUCAGAAUGCACUCCCAGGAAUCCUAGUUAUCCAAUAAAUUGUUGUUUUGUUCGAUAAUGUCCAUUAUUUAUGUCCAAGUAGCUACUUUUGUUAGCACGUUUAGUACACAUAUCCAAACGCUCGUGCAGGUCCAGGCGAACGUCGGACGAAAACUUCAAAAAGUUAUAUUACAGGCCGAAGAAACUUGUCAAACUAAGUAUAGAAUCAAUCUUUAGGAUGUUGUUAUCAUAAAUAUUCAAUAACGUUCCAACCGGAGAAUUCCUUUCUGUGUAGAGAAGCACAUUGUCGCUAUCAUGUGAAAUGCGCGUGACCAGGAAAUGGCUCUCUACCAGUAACCUGACUCAUUCCCCUCUUAUUCAGCCCCACAACACAGUAGAAGCCCCAUUCAAGUUUCUAAAGACGGAUGACAUCUAGUGGAAGCCGGAGAAAGUGCAAACAGAUCCAUAUCCUACUGUGCAUUCAAUAGGGACUGAGUUGAAAAUCGACCAACCUCAGAUAUCCCACUUCCUGGUUGGAUUUUUCUCAGGAUUUCACCUGCCAUAUGAGUUCUGUUAUACUCACAGACAUCAUUCAAAAAGUUUUAGAAACGUCAGAGUGUUUUCUAUCCAAUAGUAAUAAUAAUAUGCAUAUAUUAGCAUCUGGGACAGAGUGGGAGGCAGUUCACUCUGGGUACGCUAUUCAUCCAUAAGUGAUAAUGCUGCCUCCUAUCCCAAGAAAGUUAACCACAAAGCAAAAACAGGUUUUUAGACAUUUUUGCAAAUGUAAAAAAAUACAUAUCUUAUUUACAUAAGUAUUCAAACCCUUUGCUAUGAGACUCGGAAUGGAGCAUCCUGUUUCUACUGAUCAUCUUUGAGAUGUUUCUACGACUUGAUUGGAGUCCACCUGUGGUAAAUUCAAUUGAUUGGACAUGAUUUGGAAUGGACACACCUGUCUUUAUAAGGUCCCACAGUUGACAGUGCAUGUCAGAGCAAAAACCAAGCCCUGAGGUCGAAGGAAUUGUCCUUGAGAGAGGAUUGAGUGACAGCACAGAUCGGGGGAAGUGUACCAAAACAUUUCUGCUGCAUUGAAGGUCCCAAAAAACACAAGGUCCUCAAUCAUUCUUAAAAGGAAGAAGUUUGGAACCACCAAGACUCUUCCAAAAGCUGGCUGCCUGGCCAAACUGAACAAUCGGUGCAGAAGGGCCUUGGUUAGGGAGGUGACCAAGAACCCGAUGGUCACUGACAGAGCUCCAGAGUUCCUCAGUGGAGAUAGGAGAACCUUCCAGAAGGACAACCAACUCUGCAGCACUCCAACAAUCAGGCCUUUAUGGUAGAGUGGCCAGAUGGAAGCCACUCCUCAGAAUAAGGCACCUGACAGCCCACUUGGAGUUUGCCAAAAGGCACCUUAAGAACUCUCAGACCAUGAGAAACAAGAUUCUCUGGUCUGAUGAAACGAAGAUUGAUCUCUUUGACCUGAAUUCCAAGCGUCACGUCUGGAGGAAACCUGGCAUCAUCGCUACAGUGAAGCAUGGUGAUGGCAGCAUCAUGCUGUGGGGAUGUUUUUCAGCAGCAGGGACUGGGAUACUAGUCAGGAUCGAGGGAAAGAUGAACGGGGCAAGGUACAGAGAGAUCCCUGAUGAAAACCUGCUCCAAAGCACUCAGGACCUCAGACUGGGGCAAAGGUUCACCUUCCAACGGGACAACGACCCUAAGCCAACAGCCAAGACAACGCAGAAGUGGCUUCGGAACAAGUCUCUGAAUGUCCUUGAGUGGCCCAACCAGAGCCCGGACUUGAACCUGAUCGAACAUCUCUGGAGAGACCUGAAAAUAGCUGUGCAGCAAUGCUCACCAUCCAUCCUGACAGAGCUUGAGAGGAUUGCCAAGCUUGUAGGGUCAUACCCAAGAAGCCUCAAUGCUGCCAAAGGUGUUUCAACAAAGUACUUAGUAAAGGGUCUGAAUGCUUGUGUAAAUGUGAAAUGUAAGUUUUUUAAUACAUUUGUAAAAAUCAAAAUCAAAAUUCCUGUUUUUGCUUUGUCAUUACGGGGUGUAAUUUGUACAUUUUAAUGAGGUAAAAAUACAUUUUAAUCAGUUUUAGAUUAUUAAAGUGGCUAGAGAUUUAAACGGCUUGGAAAAUUCCAGAAAAUGAUGUCAUGGCUUUAGAAGCUUCUGAUAGGCUAAUUGACAUCAUUUGUGUCAAUUGGAGGUGUACCUGUGGAUGUAUUUCAAGACCUACCUUCCAACUUGACACCAGGAGAAAAUCAAAAGAAAUCAGCCAAGUCUGGUUCAUCCUUGGGAGCAAUUUCCAAACGCCUGAAGGUACCACGUUUAUCUGUACAAAUAAUAGUACGCAAGUAUAAACACCAUGGGACCACGCAGCUGUCAUAUUGCUCUGGAAGGAGAAGCGUUUUCAGUCUCCUAGAGAUGAACGUACUUUGGUGCGAAAAGUGAAAAUCAUUCCCAGAACAACAGCAAAGGACCUUGUGAAGAUGCUGGAGGAAACGGGUACAAAAGUAUCUAUAUCCACAGUAAAACAAGUCCUAUAUCGACAUAACCUGAAAGGCCGCUCCGCAAGGAACAAAACCGCCAUAAAAAAGACAGACUACGGUUUGCAACUGCACAUAGGGACCAAGAUUGUACUUUUUGGAGAAAAGGACAACAAAGUCAAGGUAUUGGAGUAGCCAUCACAAAGCCCUGACCUCAAUCCCAUAGAAAAUUUGUGGGCAGAACUGAAAAAGCAUGUGCGAGCAAGGAGGCUUACAAACCUGACUCAGUUACACCAGCUCUGUCAGGAGGAAUGGGCCAAAAUUCACCUGAGUUGGGUGAGAACAUUUCGUUGAGGUGAUGUGACAAAGUCUCACUUCUCAUGAGAACGUCGCUCACAUAGAUUAUUGUCCCCCUAGAGGCUGCGUCUGGCAUUACCUUGUGCAGAAAGAUGUUGAACUCUGAGGGGGAGUUCACAUACCCGAGCGGGCAACGAUUGAACGUGAAGAGCUUGUUCGAGAAAGAGAAAGCCAACUUGUGUUGGUCACGAGGGUUGACAGUCAUGGUCCAGAAACCGUUUGCCACGUCGACGGUGGAGAAGUUCUUGGCAUUUGCCACCUUUGGCAACUCUUGGUUGAGCUGUGUCAUUGGCCAACGAGACAACGGAACCAGUUUGUUGAGUUGUCUAUAGUCAACGGUAAGACACCAUUUACCGGUUGGUUUUAGAACAGAUGUCAGAAUCGACAUCCAGCCUGAACGUUGAUGUGUCGUCAAGUGGCAAUAUGGGGGUUACUGCGAAUGCCUUUGACAGACAAGUAAACAGCGUACCUCCCUCGCCAUCUAGGUCUAGGGAGGAUGGAAGAGGCCCAAUCAUGGGAACAACCAGUUCAAAAUCAUGGAAGGAGUAAUCGAUCAAUGUUCCUAGCUGAGUGUGCCGAGGAAUGGAAAUAUCCGCUUGAGUCAGAUUUUGUACCGGGGGUAAGUGGAUCUAGUGGUCAGUUCCAACAGCGGGUUGCCAUUGAUAGUUAGCCCCAAGUCGAAUAGUUGCGGAGAGGGUUGGAAGAACGCAGUGGUGCCUUCCACCCGGUAUCCGGGCGCCAGGUUCAGUCUUACAGAAACCUCUGUGGUUCUUGCCGGAAUCAUCAUGGCGGACUCAGUUAUCACCUUGCAAGCUUCAGGAAUAGUCUGCUCGGAUGCCAUUCACACCGGGUCGAAAGACAAGGCAUGUUGGUUUGGCUGCGCCAAAGACCAAAGAACUUGGUGUAUGGUAUCGAGUUUAACACCCAAUCUUACCAAAAUGUUCGCUCCCACAUAGACUGUGUGUGGGAGGUCUGCGACAACCAGUAGGCAGUGAGAUACUUCCUUGGUUACAAUGCGGAUCGAUAGCGCACACACCCCUAUUGCGGUGAGCGUCGUCUGGGGAGUCGUUCCCAGUGGAAAUCUAAACGUUUUCGGCACAAUGGGAUGGCAGUUAGCCAUUUUCGAAAUUUCGUUGAACAUUUCCAAACUGAUUGCAGAUUUUUCUGACCAGGUUGCCAGUCUGGCAUCCUCAACCAUAGUGCCGUUUAGGCACACGCCCCCUAUCAGAGGAGGUCGGUAUGUGUCUGCUGGUGAAUCACCCAAGCCACACAGGAAAACCUCAUGUUCGGUUAAGUUCCGAGUUGAACUCACCUUGUCAUUUGUCACCAAUGGCGAACUCAUGACCAAGUUCACCGGGUUUGUGGCAGAUGCUGACGUCGAACCCACGCCGUUGCGCAAUGUAUGACAGGUAGCCUUGGAAGAAUGCGGGGAAGUCAACGGAGUUGGCAUACAUAUUUGUCACCAGAUUUGGUUGGUUUUCCAAUCCAUUAGUGGUACCAAACGGUCAAUUAAAUCUAUCCCAAUAAGCAUCCGUUCGAUGUCGAUGGUAAUCGCUUUCGAAGUUGAGUUUAAGUAGGAGACACUUGGUUAGUGGCGAGGUAGCUUCGGUGAAACCCCUAAGCUUCGUGUCGCAACGUUCCGUUUUCAACCAACGGUUUGUUGGGUCCACUGCCCCUUUUAGUUCAUCCAGCAAGGUUUCGGAUAUGAGUGAAAUUGUCAAACCCGAAUCUAUGAGAGCGUGACAGGUCAAACAGUCCUUCAGGACUGUUCUAAGGUAUGGCCUGUUCGAGUUGGGUUUUCUCAUCAUAUCCCCAACAUAAUGGAGUGGGUUGGGAGUACCGAGCGGUUUGUAAUCUGUGUCGAUUUCCAAGACGGAUAACUCACCUAUGUGACCCAGUGGGUCCUCUAUCGGAAUGGGAGAGGAAUCAUCUGUUGCAAAGCUGCUUAUCUAGAACGAGUGGUCCCUGGACAGGGAUUGGAGUGGGGGCGGGGGAAAUGGAAAUGUUGACGUCCUCUCGAAUUGCGUUAGUUUCGGCUGACUUGGUUCCCAACAAUUUUACGCCUAGUUAUGUUGUCCUCUUUCUCAAAUUUCUUACGAUGCAGUACAUCUCUUAUCAGAGUUUCUAUAUCAUUUCGCUUAGGGUUUAGAUCAUUGUUGAACACUUUGUUGCGCUUGUUACUCUUGUGUCCUGACCCUUUGUGAGGGUUAGGCGCAGGGACAUAUCGGCCAAGUUGAUCUCUACGGGACCUGUUCGAUUGGGGACGUUCAUCAUAGCUAUUGUUACUGCAGUGGUUGUCAGUGUGGUGGUUACUUGGUUGCCACCCCCUUUGAUCGUCAUCUUUUACCGCACCUGUCCCUAAUGCUGCACCUUCUAAUUGGAGUGAUGGUUCCCGCCUAAGCUCGAAAGUCGAGGUGUCUGGGCUCUUAGCCCGGCUUGCUUUUGAUGCUUCAAAAGCGGUGCUUACAAGCUCUCAGAGCGUCGAGAUUGGCAACCCAAUGUGGGCAGUAGGGCCCAAGUAGUUGAUGAAGUAGAUGUUUGACAGAAACAGUUGUUUGAAUGGUAAUAGGUCUUCCAUUCCCGUUUCAGUGAGCAUGCCAAAGUAAGCUGAACGAAGCAGGUGAUAGUAGGUCUGUGGGUGUUCAUUUUGAGCUUGUCUGAUAUUGUUAGCCAACGAGCUGUCGUGUUUGCGAGUCGCAGAACCACUGAAUUCUAUUUUCAAAACCGUGGCAUGUUUAGCGUAGUCGUGCAGGAUUUCGCCACAAUUUCUCUGUAUAUAAUGGCCCAUAACUUUAACACUAGCAGAGAUCCUGGAACUGAUAUACCCUUACAGUAUAUUAUAUUCAACAAUAUAUACAAAAAUCAACAUUUAUAUUUUCAAUAUUCAUGUAAGAAAUGUUUGAAUGAAAUCCGAAUACUACUCAUAUUACAGAGCAAGUGGUAAAGA